rnacentral:piRNA from 1 species
UGAAGAGUUGAAGUUUUAUUUCUUUAGAA